CGGGAGCCGCCGUCCGGGGUACUCUCUUGGUCCCUUUUAUUUCGCUCUCCUCCCGAUGCUCUCUCCCGAUCUCUUUCCUGACCCCAAACCUCUUCUCAUGAAAGGAACUGCUGGAGGAAGUCGAGCAACUACCUCCCUGAGGCCGCUAAGGACACACAGAGUAAGUGAAAUCAUUUCAUCAAUGCAAACUGUGAGGGGUGCAGAUUCGAUUCGUUUCAUGAUUUAGUUGCCUUCCUUCCACUUGAAUCAGGAAAGGAAGGCAACCAUUAGUUUUAGUUGCCUUCCUUCCAGUGGAAUCAUUUCAUCAGAUUUAGUUGUCUUACUCUUACGGAUUCGCAGUUGUUCAACCAUUAGUUUCUGGUAUUGAAUCAGGAAAGCUUGCGUCGUGACAUUGGUUUCUCUAAUCUUCUGGAUGUGCACUGCCGCUACUCACAAAGGAAACACUGUAUGUGACACAGGUUUUUAUUCAUUUAUUUUGCCCAGACACCAAGAUAAACAUUUCUUUGACUCUAGGAAGAAUGGUCGAUGCGUUCAAUGUAGUCUUUAUCAAGUUCUAAUUAUAUAUAAUCUCCUUCAAGUAUUAUUUCUAACUUCGUUGCUUUCGUGUUCUUAAGCGAUCUCUCUAU
rnacentral:lncRNA from 1 species